CCUACGGGUGGCAGCAGUCGAGAAUCAUGCACAAUGGGGGAAACCCUGAUGGAGCGACGCCGCGUGGGGGAAUGAAGGUCUCCGGAUUGUAAACCCCUGUCAUGGGGGAGCAAAUUAAAAAGAUAGUACCACAAGAGGAAGAGACGGCUAACUCUGUGCCAGCAGCCGCGGUAAUACAGAGGUCUCAAGCGUUGUUCGGAAGCACUGGGCGUAAAGCGUGCGUAGGCUGUUUCGUAAGUCGUGUGUGAAAGGCGCGGGCUCAACCCGCGGACGGCACAUGAUACUGGGAGACUAGAGUAAUGGAGGGGGAACCGGAAUUCUCGGUGUAGCCGUGAAAUGCGUAGAUAUCGAGAGGAACACUCGUGGCGAAGGCGGGUUCCUGGACAUUAACUGACGCUGAGGCACGAAGGCCAGGGGAGCGAAAAGGAUUAGAUACCCGGGUAGUC
rnacentral:rRNA from 1 species